rnacentral:rRNA from 1 species
ACCAGCAUUGGCUGUAAUAAUGACGACCAGGUUAAUGACAUUGUACGAGGUUCAGAGAUGAAGUGCAUGGCCGCCGUCAGCUCGUACCGUGAGGCGUCCUGUUAAGUCAGGCAACGAGCGAGACCCGCAUCCUUACUUGCCAGCAGUACCGCGAGGUAGCUGGGGACAGUAGGGAGACCGCCGUGGCUAACACGGAAGAAGGAACGGGCAACGGUAGGUCAGUAUGCCCCGAAUGUGCUGGGCAACACGGAAGAAGGAACGGGCAACGGUAGGUCAGUAUGCCCCGAAUGUGCUGGGCAACACGCGGGCUACAAUGGUCGAGACAAAGAGUUCCAACUCCGAAAGGAGACGGUAAUCUCAGAAACUCGAUCGUUUUUCGAUUGUGGGCUGCAACUCGCCCACAUGAAGCUGGAUUCGGUAGUAAUCGCGGUCACAAGCUCGCUGGU